CCUACGGGGGGCAGCAGUGGGGGAUAUUGCACAAUGGGGGGAACCCUGAUGCAGCGACGCCGCGUGGGUGAAGGAGUAUUUCGGUAUGUAAAGCCCUAUCGGCAGGGAAGAAAUUGGACGGUACCUGACUAAGAAGCCCCGGCUAACGACGUGCCAGCAGCCGCGGUAAUACGGAGGGGGCAAGCGUUAUCCGGAUUCACUGGGUGUAAAGGGAGCGUAGACGGCGAUGCAAGCCAGGGGUGAAAGCCCGGGGCCCAACCCCGGGACUGCCCUUGGAACUGCAUGGCUGGAGUGCGGGAGGGGCAGGCGGAAUUCCUGGUGUAGCGGUGAAAUGCGUAGAUAUCAGGAGGAACACCGGCGGCGAAGGCGGCCUGCUGGACCGCGACUGACGUUGAGGCUCGAAAGCGUGGGGAGCGAACAGGAUUAGAUACCCGGGUAGUC
rnacentral:rRNA from 1 species